GGUUCAAUUGAGUUGGUUAGCACUCAUCUCACCAUUAGAAUCAGCUUCUCGGUAUUAUUCUUUUUUUGCCUGAGACUGAGAAAUUUCAAAAUCAACACAAAAUAAGUUUUGCAUCAUUUCUAACUGUGAGCCAUCUGAACGCUGGCAUCCCAACGCACACUUCCGGUCAUACGGUGGACCAAAUGGAG
rnacentral:sRNA from 1 species